GAGUUUGAUCCUGGCUCAGGAUAAACGCUGGCGGCGUGCCUAAUGCAUGCAAGUCGCACGGAGCAGCACUUCGGUGUUGUUGAGUGGCGAACGGGUGAGGAACGCGUGGACAACCUACCCCGGCGUGGGGGAUACCCGCCAGAAAUGGCGGCUAAUACCGCGUACGGUCCCAUGGCGGAGGGCUUGUGGGAAGAAAGCAGCGAUGCGCGCUGGGAGGGGUCUGCGGCCGAUUAGCUUGUUGGCGGGGUAGUGGCCCACCAAGGCGAUGAUCGGUAGCUGGUCUGAGAGGAUGAUCAGCCACGCGGGGACUGAGACACGGCCCCGACUCCUACGGGAGGCAGCAGCAAGGAAUUUUCCGCAAUGGGGGCAACCCUGACGGAGCAACGCCGCGUGCGGGACGACGCCUCUUGGGGUGUAAACCGCUUUUGCCGAGGGAGAGAACGGACGGUACUCGGCGAAUAAGGACCGGCUAACUACGUGCCAGCAGCCGCAGUAAG
rnacentral:rRNA from 1 species